GGGUUAAGUCCCGCAACGAGCGCAACCCUCGACCUUAGUUGCCAGCAUUCAGUUGGGCACUCUAAGGUGACUGCCGGUGACAAACCGGAGGAAGGUGGGGAUGACGUCAAGUCAUCAUGGCCCUUACGGCCUGGGCUACACACGUGCUACAAUGGUCGGUACAAAGGGUUGCCAAGCCGCGAGGUGGAGCUAAUCCCAUAAAACCGAUCGUAGUCCGGAUCGCAGUCUGCAACUCGACUGCGUGAAGUCGGAAUCGCUAGUAAUCGUGAAUCAGAAUGUCACGGUGAAUACGUUCCCGGGCCUU
rnacentral:rRNA from 1 species